UGCCCCCUGGCAAUGGGCAGAGACACUCCUUGUUGGUGUUGGCAUUCUCAUAUCAGUUAGGGGCAGAGCAGAUGGCAGUCCUGUGUUCAUCCUAGCCUGAUGCCUGGCUUGGUGGACAAAGCUGUUUUAUGCGUAAGACUCAUAA